UUCCGGUUGAUCCUGCCGGACCCGACUGCUAUUUGGGUGAGAAUAAGCCAUGCAAGUCGAAUGGAAUACCAAAAUAUUCCAUGGCAAACUGCUCAAUAACACGUGAUCAACUUACCCUAUGGAAAACAAUAACCUCUGGAAACGGAGGAUAAUGGUUUAUAGUUGAAAAGGCUUGGAAAAGUUUUUCAAUAAAAGGGAAUAAUAAAAAUGGUUAUUAUUUUGCCAUAGGAUAGGAUUGCGGUCGAUUAUGGCUGUUGGUGAGGUAAUGGCUCACCAAACCAAUAAUCGAUAGGGGCCGUGAGAGCGGGAGCCCCGAGAUGGGUACUGAGACAACGACCCAGGCCUUACGAGGUGCAGCAGGCGCGAAAACUCCGCAAUACACGAAAGUGUGACGGGGUUACCCAAAGUGCUUAAUAUUUAAGCUGUGGUAAGUGUGUAAUGUACCUUCCUAGAAAGGAGAGGGCAAGGCUGGUGCCAGCCGCCGCGGUAAAACCAGCUCUUCAAGUGGUCGGGAUAUUUAUUGGGCUUAAAGUGUCCGUAGCUUGUAUAAUAAGUUCCUGGUAAAAUCUAAUAGCUUAACUAUUAGUAUGCUAGGAAUACUGUUAUACUAGAGGGCGGGAGAGGUUUGAGGUACUUCAGGGGUAGGGGUGAAAUCCUAUAAUCCUUGAAGGACCACCAGUGGCGAAGGCGUCAGACUGGAACGCGCCUGACAGUGAGGGACGAAAGCCAGGGGAGCGAACCGGAUUAGAUACCCGGGUAGUCCUGGCCGUAAACGAUGCACACUAGGUGUUGGUAUGGCUAUGAGCCAUAUCAGUGCCGAAGGGAAACCAUUAAGUAUGCCGCCUGGGAAGUACGGUCGCAAGGCUAAAACUUAAAGGAAUUGGCGGGGGAGCACCACAAGGGGUGAAGCCUGCGGUUCAAUUGGAGUCAACGCCGGA
rnacentral:rRNA from 1 species